rnacentral:lncRNA from 1 species
AUGACAGCGUGCGGCGGACGAGGGGACGGCCAGCUCGCCUGGCCCUGUCCUGUCUGCGGCAGCUCCGUGCCAAGAGAUUGCUGGGUUGGCACCCAUCAGCAUCACCCCCAGGAGGGGACGUGGGCAGGUGGGGGGCUUCUGGUCCCUAUAGGGGUGCCCAAGCUGCAUUCACCCCUUCCUCUGCUCCUGGCAGACGGCGCGAGCAGGGCGGAGGGCGCCGCGCCGCCAGAGCCCGCCGACCCCGAGGGGGCUGAUCCCGGAGCCAUCAGCCUGCGCCCCGUGGAGUCCAUCAGCGACCUGCACUGGGCCUCGGCCGGGCACAAGGGCAGCGAAGGGAACGGCCCGGCUCCAUCCAGCGCCCAGCCGCACCGCCUGCCCCACAGCCCCCCACGCCUGCCCACGCUGCGCCCCGUGCCGCCCAGCACCACCUGCCCUUGCCCCGGCCGCCCCCUCUUCCUCGCCCUGCUGGGCCUCCUGGCACUGGCCAGCCUGGUCCUGGCCACGAUGGCCAUCUACCUGAGCGGUACGUGGGACCGGGCAGGGCAGGGGGAGGCGGACACGGUGCCACGCGGCGCCGGGGGCUUGGGGACAGCCGGUGGCACGUCCCCAGCAUCCCCCCGUCCUCCCCUGCAGUGCUGCAGAGCCAGUCGGUGCAGGCGCUGGCCCAGUGGCUGGAGAGCCAGGAGGACACCAUGCGUCAGCUGCGGGCCACCAGCAGGCAGCUCUGGGCUCGCCUCAACGCCAGCGCUGAGCGCCGCUGAGCCGCCCCAACAGAGGAGGAGCCCCAACAUUUAUCGCCCCCGUCCCGCUCCUCCCUGGCAGCGUCACCCCCAGGGCACACGGGGGCCAGCCUGCCCCUGCCGUGCGCCGUCGGGGAAAGGGAAGGGCCUGCAAGGACGGGCACCUGCCCCGGCCCUUCCUCCGCCAGGCACAGAAGGCGCCCUGCCAUCAGUGACCUCCUCUAAUCAAGUCUUAGAAAAUUGCCACCGUAACCACAUUCCCGGGGUGGCCGGUGCUGACGGCAGGCACGGCCCCAGCCCAGCCCAGCCCCAGCAGUGCCUGGGGAGCGGCACCAGCCCGACCCCGGGAGGCACAGGCGGCACUGGGGUCCCCGUGCCACCCACCCGGCACUUGUGUCCCACAAAAGGACUCUGCCACGUAGAGCAGCUGGCAUGACAAGGGGCCGGAGCGGUUUGCCAGCCCCGGCAUGGAGGAGGCACGCAGCAGCACACCACCAGCUCCCCGCCUCGGCUCUCCUUUUAUCCUUUCUUUGGUUAAAUAAAAUAAAGGAAGGGGCAGCCCCCUGUGGGCUG